UACGAGAGGCCCAAACGUUAUUCGGAAUUACUGGGCUUAAAGAGUUCGUAGGCGGCAUUGCAAGUAGGGUGUGAAAGCCCUCGGCUCAACCGAGGAAUUGCGCUCUAAACUGCAGUGCUUGAGGACCUAGAGGUGAGCAGAACAGAUGGUGGAGCGGUGAAAUGCGUUGAUAUCAAUCUGGAAUACCGGAGGCGAAGGCGGC
rnacentral:rRNA from 1 species